CGCCUGCUAUCAUGCCCACAAUUUUCCAGUGACAAAUUAGUUGGCAUGAUUUGAGAAGUUUGUUCAUCCCCAACUUUGAUGUUAAUCCCUUGACAUUUACCCAAUGAUGAAGCUGGCACCUCACUUUCAGUACAUGAUUGAAUGAAAUCCAUAUUUUCAUCACACGACAAAGCACUUAAUGUGACUUUGGAAGUCUGACUUGUGGCAGACUGGACAUUUUCUUCUUGAUGUUGAGACCCCAUCAACAAUAUUGAUUCCUCCCUUUCAAUAUUCAAGUCAGACGGCACAUUGUCUUGAUGUUGAGACCUCAACAAUAAUAUGAGUUCCUCACUUUCAAUAUUUCGUUG
rnacentral:misc_RNA from 1 species